UCCAACAAAUAUGUAUUACUGUCUACUCUCAGCCAAGGAAGUGAUUUUGUGGAUAUGGCCUCAGAGACAGCAAACAAAAAUGUCUGCUCUCAUGGAGCUUAGUGAAGAAGGCAAACAAUAGCCCAGAAUGAUUGGGAAAAAGUGCUUCGUCAAUUUGGUGAUAAGGACCAAAAGAUCCAGAACCUUGAAGCCUUAUUACAGGAGAGUAAAGAAAAUAUUUCUUUCCUAGAAAAGGAAAGAGAAGAUUUUAUGCAAAAACUCAGGCUGGUGAAGGAGAGACCGCUGUUCUUAAUCAGUUGCAGGAAGAAAACCAUAUAUUACAGGAACAAGUAACUCAACU
rnacentral:lncRNA from 1 species